UGGGGAAUAUUGGACAAUGGGCGCAAGCCUGAUCCAGCCAUGCCGCGUGAGUGAUGAAGGCCCUAGGGUUGUAAAGCUCUUUUGUGCGGGAAGAUAAUGACGGUACCGCAAGAAUAAGCCCCGGCUAACUUCGUGCCAGCAGCCGCGGUAAUACGAAGGGGGCUAGCGUUGCUCGGAAUCACUGGGCGUAAAGGGUGCGUAGGCGGGUCUUUAAGUCAGGGGUGAAAUCCUGGAGCUCAACUCCAGAACUGCCUUUGAUACUGAAGAUCUUGAGUUCGGGAGAGGUGAGUGGAACUGCGAGUGUAGAGGUGAAAUUCGUAGAUAUUCGCAAGAACACCAGUGGCGAAGGCGGCUCACUGGCCCGAUACUGACGCUGAGGCACGAAAGCGUGGGGAGCAAACAGGAUUAGAUACCCUGGUA
rnacentral:rRNA from 1 species